rnacentral:rRNA from 1 species
ACGUAGGAGGCAAGCGUUAUCCGGAGUUACUGGGCGUAAAGGGCGUGCAGGCGGUUGGCUAUGUUCGUUGUGAAAGCGCCCAGGCUUAACCGGGCGAGGACAAUGAAGACUGGUCAGCUAGAGGAUGGAACAGGAGCGUAGAAUUCCCGGUGUAGUGGUGGAAUGCGUAGAUAUCGGGAGGAAUACCGGUGGCGAAGGCGACGCUCUGGUCCAGCCCUGACACUGAGGCGCGAAAGCGUGGGGAGCAAACGG